rnacentral:lncRNA from 1 species
AAAGCGCAGGUCCCCGCCUCGGCAGCCACGGGACACCUGCAUCUGCCAACAAGACUGGAAGCAGAAAGGGACAGAGACGGCGAAGUUUGACGGUCUGGAAAGCAGAGACCAGCAGGGCUGACUGCUUGGGAGCACCAAAUAUCCGGACAGCGCCUCUCGGGAGGUCCGAGAAGAGAACCGCGAUCUGUUUCAGCACCGGGGCUCAGGACAGUUCCCAGCGGGCUCCGUUUCGUCUCCAGAACCCUGGACAGCUCCUCCAGCCUCCCAAAGUGCUAGGAUUACAGGCGUGAGUCACUGCGCCUGGCCCAAGUCCGGAAUUUUCAACAGGACAUGGGUGUUACUGUGCCCAUGUGACAUUUGGGGAACCCAAGGCCCUGAGAAAGGCAGAAAAAUAACCCACGCAGGGACUCUCAGCCCACAAGUGAAGCUCUUGGAAUGCACUCCCUCCACCUCCAACCAGAGCUCCCCACAACUGACCCUGCCUUCUUCUGCAAGCUCCAUUUCAUCAAGGGAAACGAUCCUUAUUGCCUCACCAUUUCCCACGUGAAGUCUGUAUUGACAUUCUCAUAGACCUGGGAUAUUGUGUCUGCAGCACAUAGUCCAAUUAUUUUCAUGUUAUCUACUGACAGGUCUAUUUGUCUCCCUGUUACACUGUGAGCUCCGUGAGGGCAGAAACAAUGUUAGUAUUUUCACUGCUGUGUCCCCAGCGCCUGGUCCGGGGCCCGGCACACAGCAGGCAUAUAAUAAGCAUGUGUUGAAUCAAUAAAGGCAUCAAAGAAUAAA